CAGCCGCCACGGUAAUACGUAGGGGGCAAGCGUUGUCCGGAAUUAUUGGGCAUAAAGCGCGCGCAGGCGGUCAUGUAAGUCUGGUGUUUAAUCCCGGGGCUCAACCCCGGAUCGCACUGGAAACUGGGUGACUUGAGUGCAGAAGAGGAGAGUGGAAUUCCACAUGUAGCGGUGAAAUGCGUAGAGAUGUGGAGGAACACCAGUGGCGAAGGCGACUCUCUGGGCUGUAACUGACGCUGAGGCGCGAAAGCGUGGGGAGCAAACAGGAUUAGAUACCCCCGUAGUCCCUGUCUCUUAUACA
rnacentral:rRNA from 1 species